rnacentral:rRNA from 1 species
UGGGGAAUAUUGGACAAUGGGCGAAAGCCUGAUCCAGCCAUGCCGCGUGUGUGAAGAAGGUCUUCGGAUUGUAACGCACUUUAAGUUGGGAGGAAGGGCAGUAAGCGAAUACCUUGCUGUUUUGACGUUACCGACAGAAUAAGCACCGGCUAACUCUGUGCCAGCAGCCGCGGUAAUACAGAGGGUGCAAGCGUUAAUCGGAAUUACUGGGCGUAAAGCGCGCGUAGGUGGUUCGUUAAGUUGAAUGUGAAAGCCCCGGGCUCAACCUGGGAACUGCAUCCAAAGCUGGCGAGCUAGAGUAGGGCAGAGGGUGGUGGAAUUUCCUGUGUAGCGGUGAAAUGCGUAGAUAUAGGAAGGAACACCAGUGGCGAAGGCGACCACCUGGGCUCAUACUGACACUGAGGUGCGAAAGCGUGGGGAGCAAACAGG